UACGUAGGGUGCGAGCGUUGUCCGGAUUUAUUGGGCGUAAAGGGCUCGUAGGCGGCGUGUCGCGUCGGGAGUGAAAGACCGGGGCUUAACCCCGGUUCUGCUUCCGGUACGGGCAUGCUGGAGUGUAGCAGGGGAGACUGGAAUUCCUGGUGUAGCGGUGGAAUGCGCAGAUAUCAGGAGGAACACCGGUGGCGAAGGCGGGUCUCUGGGCCAUUACUGACGCUGAGGAGCGAAAGCGUGGGGAGCGAACAGG
rnacentral:rRNA from 1 species